rnacentral:rRNA from 1 species
GAUGAACGCUGGCGGCGUGCCUAAUACAUGCAAGUCGAGCGAACGGAUUAAGAGCUUGCUCUUAUGAAGUUAGCGGCGGACGGGUGAGUAACACGUGGGUAACCUGCCCAUAAGACUGGGAUAACUCCGGGAAACCGGGGCUAAUACCGGAUAACAUUUUGAACCGCAUGGUUCGAAAUUGAAAGGCGGCUUCGGCUGUCACUUAUGGAUGGACCCGCGUCGCGUUAGCUAGUUGGUGAGGUAACGGCUCACCAAGGCAACGAUGCGUAGCCGACCUGAGAGGGUGAUCGGCCACACUGGGACUGGGACACGGCCCAGACUCCUACGGGAGGCAGCAGUAGGGAAUCUUCCGCAAUGGACGAAAGUCUGACGGAGCAACGCCGCGUGAGUGAUGAAGGCUUUCGGGUCGUAAAACUCUGUUGUUAGGGAAGAACAAGUGCUAGUUGAAUAAGCUGGCACCUUGACGGUACCUAACCAGAAAGCCACGGCUAACUACGUGCCAGCCGCCGCAGUAA